rnacentral:rRNA from 1 species
AUGUCUACUUGGAGGUUGUGCCCUUGAGGCGUGGCUUCCGGAGCUAACGCGUUAAGUAGACCGCCUGGGGAGUACGGCCGCAAGGUUAAAACUCAAAUGAAUUGACGGGGGCCCGCACAAGCGGUGGAGCAUGUGGUUUAAUUCGAUGCAACGCGAAGAACCUUACCUGGUCUUGACAUCCACAGAAGAAUCCAGAGAUGGAUUUGUGCCUUCGGGAACUGUGAGACAGGUGCUGCAUGGCUGUCGUCAGCUCGUGUUGUGAAAUGUUGGGUUAAGUCCCGCAACGAGCGCAACCCUUAUCCUUUGUUGCCAGCGGUUAGGCCGGGAACUCAAAGGAGACUGCCAGUGAUAAACUGGAGGAAGGUGGGGAUGACGUCAAGUCAUCAUGGCCCUUACGACCAGGGCUACACACGUGCUACAAUGGCGCAUACAAAGAGAAGCGACCUCGCGAGAGCAAGCGGACCUCAUAAAGUGCGUCGUAGUCCGGAUUGGAGUCUGCAACUCGACUCCAUGAAGUCGGAAUCGCUAGUAAUCGUGGAUCAGAAUGCCACGGUGAAUACGUUCCCGGGCCUUGUACACACCGCCCGUCACACCAUGGGAGUGGGUUGCAAAAGAAGUAGGUAGCUUAACCUUCGGGAGGGCGCUUACCACUUUGUGAUUCAUGACUGGGGUGAAGUCGU